ACGUGCAUUGCUUAUAUUGAUUUUUCGGUUUGCUUGUUCUGAUCCUGUGCCACAGCCAAGGAAUCAACCUUCCAGAGAGCCCAUUUGCAUCUCCAAUAAGGAGUGGCAUUUCAACUGUUAUGUAGAGAGAGAGAAAAAAGAAAAUAUAAUACAGAGAUGUUACAUAGAGGUAGACUGCAGUCAAAGAUCGUUGAUACAACAGAGAAUUUCUUUUUCGUUUUUAAAUUUACCUGGUCGAUCAGCUUCGUAGCCACUCAUUACCAAACUGAAGGAGGAAAAGUACUUCUCCAUUUUUUCUUCAUGAUGGAGAAGAUUGGAA
rnacentral:lncRNA from 1 species